rnacentral:rRNA from 1 species
GACAGAGGCCUCAAGCGUUAGGCGGAAUCACUGGGCUUAAAGCGUGUGUAGGCGGGUCGUUAAGUACCUUGUGAAAUCCCACGGCUCACCCGUGGAACUGCUGGGUAUACUGGCGAUCUUGGGCCAUUCAGGGGCAACUGGAACAAGCGGUGGAGCGGUGAAAUGCGUAGAGAUGUGGAGGAAUACCGAUGGCGAAGGCAGCCCCCUGGGCCAAUACUGACGCUCAUGCACGAAAGCGUGGGGAGCAAACAGG